rnacentral:rRNA from 1 species
GAUGAACGCUGGCGGCGUGCCUAAUACAUGCAAGUCGAGCGAACGGACGAGAAGCUUGCUUCUCUGAUGUUAGCGGCGGACGGGUGAGUAACACGUGGAUAACCUACCUAUAAGACUGGGAUAACUUCGGGAAACCGGAGUUAAUACCGGAUGAUAUUUUGAACCGCAUGGUUCAAAAGUGAAAGACGGUCUUGCUGUCACUUAUAGAUGGAUCCGCGCUGCAUUAGCUAGUUGGUAAGGUAACGGCUUACCAAGGCAACGAUGCAUAGCCGACCUGAGAGGGUGAUCGGCCACACUGGAACUGAGACACGGUCCAGACUCCUACGGGAGGCAGCAGUAGGGAAUCUUCCGCAAUGGGCGAAAGCCUGACGGAGCAACGCCGCGUGAGUGAUGAAGGUCUUCGGAUCGUAAAACCCUGUUAUUAGGGAAGAACAUAUGUGUAAGUAACUGUGCACAUCUUGACGGUACCUAAUCAGAAAGCCACGGCUAACUACGUG